UGUGGGAGCGGGCUUGCUCGCGAGGCGGUGUAUCAGUCGCCCUCUGUGUUGAAUGACACACCGCAUUCGCGAGCAAGCCCGCUCCCACA
rnacentral:misc_RNA from 1 species